CAGGGCUCCUCUCUGGCUUCAACAAAAAAGUUCCCAUCAAACAGCAAGCUAAUACGAUCUCAGAAUUCUCUUCUACCACACCCUGAAAAAAAGAUGCUAAUAGCCUCGUUUAAUUUGAUUAUUUUCAAAUAACCACUUAUCUAGGCGUUCGAAGAAACCAUAAAUAUUCCCCCUUUUACCUAACGCUAAGUCACGUUUUUCUCAGGCAUAGAAGCGAACACCACGUAGUAGUCUUCCUCCGACAUCGAACUAUAACAAGUUUAGUUGUGGUUCUCUCAGGCAUUUCAUCGAACACUUUGUCUGCUUUGAUCAUC